GAUGAAGAACGCAGUGAAAUGCGAUAAGUAAUGUGAAUUGCAGAAUUCAGUGAAUCAUCGAAUCUUUGAACGCACAUUGCGCCCCCUGGUAUUCCGAGGGGCAUGCCUGUUCGAGCGUCAUUUUGACCACUCCCGCUUGCGGGGUCUUGGGCCUUCGCCUCUGGGCGGGCCUUAAAAUCAGUGGCGGUGCCGUCCGGCUCUAAGCGUAGUAAAUCUCCUCGCUAUAGGGUUCCGGAGGGAUGCUGGCCAACAACCCCCAACUUUUAAGGUUGACCUCGGAUCAGGUAGGGAUACCCGCUGAACUUAAGCAUAUCAAUAAGCGGAGGA
rnacentral:misc_RNA from 1 species